AUUGAACGCUGGCGGCAUGCCUUACACAUGCAAGUCGAACGGCAGCGCGGGGCAACCUGGCGGCGAGUGGCGAACGGGUGAGUAAUAUAUCGGAACGUACCCUGGAGUGGGGGAUAACGUAGCGAAAGUUACGCUAAUACCGCAUACGAUCUAAGGAUGAAAGCGGGGGAUCGCAAGACCUCGCGCUCCAGGAGCGGCCGAUAUCUGAUUAGCUAGUUGGUGGGUAAAGGCCUACCAAGGCAUCGAUCAGUAGCUGGUCUGAGAGGACGACCAGCCACACUGGAACUGAGACACGGUCCAGACUCCUACGGGAGGCAGCAGUGGGGAAUUUUGGACAAUGGGCGCAAGCCUGAUCCAGCAAUGCCGCGUGAGUGAAGAAGGCCUU
rnacentral:rRNA from 1 species